GUGAAUCAUCAAAUUUUUGAACGCAUAUUGCACUCUCUGGUUUUCCGGAGAGUAUGCCUGUUUGAGGGUAAUUAAAAAGAAUCUUUAAUCAAUUUUUUUGGUGAAAGGAUAUGAGUUAUGGGCGUUUAUAGCUGUAGUUUGAGAUAAAUGGUCAAGUCUCAUUUUAGUCGAGACGCGUAAUAUUAUUGUUUCGAGAUCUCUUCAUUAUGUGACUAUCUAGUUUUUAUGCAUACAUAUUUGGUUUGUAUGCGUUCAAUAUAAAUAUUUUUAUUAUUACUUGAAUU
rnacentral:misc_RNA from 1 species